rnacentral:rRNA from 1 species
AGUGAACGCUGGCGGUAGGCCUAACACAUGCAAGUCGAACGGCAGCACAGGAGAGCUUGCUCUCUGGGUGGCGAGUGGCGGACGGGUGAGGAAUACAUCGGAAUCUACUCUGUCGUGGGGGAUAACGUAGGGAAACUUACGCUAAUACCGCAUACGACCUACGGGUGAAAGCAGGGGAUCUUCGGACCUUGCGCGAUUGAAUGAGCCGAUGUCGGAUUAGCUAGUUGGCGGGGUAAAGGCCCACCAAGGCGACGAUCCGUAGCUGGUCUGAGAGGAUGAACAGCCACACUGGAACGGAGGCCGGGUCCAGACUCCGACGUGAGGCAGCAUUGGGGAAUAUUGGACAAUGGGCGCAAGCCUGAUCCAGCCAUACCGCGUGGGUGAAGAAGGCCUUCGGGUUGUAAAGCCCUUUUGUUGGGAAAGAAAUCCAGCUGGCUAAUACCCGGUUGGGAUGACGGUACCCAAAGAAUAAGCACCGGCUAACUUCGUGCCAGCAGCCGCAGUAA